CUAGCCGAGCAUUAGGCAUUUUAUAAAAGCACUUUGGGAUCCCUGAUAAACAGCAAUCUAGGAACUGACAGCAGUGGUUUCAGCAGAGGCGGUAUUGCAGCCGUGGAUAGUCUAAGGACAUAAGUGAGGCAAGGCUGGUAGGAAGAAGCAGUAUUUUUUUUUUAUUACUCAUAUAGCACAGCCAGGGAAAAGAAGCCAGGCUUUCAAGACCACAAACUCCUCUUCUGAUCUGGUGCCAUAAACUUCAGGCUUAGGCCUGUGAAGGGCUGGGAUGGCUUUGGUAAUGAGGCAAUCGGGGGGGGAAAAGCUCCUCGCUCCAUGCUGCCUAGUGAGUUGCUUAUAGGGGAAAAGGUAUUUCUUAGGCUUUUGUGGGGAAUGGGGGAGAACAGGGGACAUAAUAGCACUGCUCAGUUUAUUCAGAAAAAGGAAGAAAAUCAUGCAAUGUUCAUGAUUAAAAAAUAAAUAAAAUAAAAAAGAGGGAGGUAAAAAUACACUGGGUACAGACAGAAACCUCCUCUAAAGUUAAUGUGUAAUUUUUGCAGCACGCACAGGUUUUGCAUUUGCACAAGGAGCAGUAAGUCUCUGGUCGGAUCCCAGCUCAGCUAUACAUCAGCACAGCCCCGUGCUGGAAAGGACUGUAACUCAUCGGCCUAUCUCCCGGCACUCGAGGGCGGCUGUUUAGGCUCCUCUUACAAUUUCUCCUUGCUGUUGUGAAUCUUUAAGUAUCUGCGCCAGACUGCAAUCCCCAGGUCGACUGUAAAGCUGGCCUUUACCUUCACACUGCCUUAUUACAUCCAUCUUAAAUUAUGAGGGGCACUGAGACAGGGUUGAUAAGGAGGAUUUAUUAAGCUUGAAUGACCAUCUAUAGCGAUGCAGCGCUGAGUGACUCCCACUCCAAUCCCAAUUCCUUCUUCUUCUCCUUCUCCCAGAGAACAGCUGCUGCCAGAACACACUCGCUACCAAGUGUGAACCCUCAAGCAACUGGUGUUGGAAGGCUUCACUCAGGGAGGAGAGGAUUGGGUUCAGCUGACUGUGGUUAUAAAGGGAGGUGUCUCUAAGCAUCUGGUCUGGGAGAGCUCUGCCCCAGAGGUGUGGGGCUUGUAGAGGGUCCCAGGCAGAGGAAAGCCUGGAGUUUUGUCAUCUCACGGAGGUGGUGUGGUGGCCUGGCACUGCUGUCUGGGGAGCUCGUUUGCGUAAUUUUGUUGGGUCCUGGCUAAUAAUGACGUCACUUAAAAACAAUUCAUUUUGCUGGACCGAGAGUGGGCUUCGUUGUCAUGGCAACCUUUGAUUCGGAGACUUGCGGGAAGGAGACAGCACAUCGGCCCAGUUUCCCUGAGACUUAACAGCAACAAACAAGAUUAAGAUUGGAGCUUAGUGAGUAUUAGGGGGAGAUCUCUCAUUGCCAACGUGCUGGGAAUUACCAGGUCCAGCAGCCUGGCAGCAAAGGGCAGCCACCUCCCCGGCGAGCUCUCACUAACCCCUGUUGGGGUGGCUCUGUGAAUGGCAUCAUCCCUAAGGCGUGACAAAAUCCAGCCCCUCCUAAAAGCAUCCCUCAAGUUCAGGCACUUGAGAGAAAAGGGCACCAGGAUGUUUCCCUCCCGCUGGCGUGAUACCAGAGCUUCGCAGGGAAGGGAAACGAAGAGACCCUGCCAUGCCUUGUAGCUUCCAAGAAGAAAAGAGGUGUGAGGACGUGGGCUCGCUGCGGGCAUCUGACCCCUGCCACACAAGUGAGCAUUAUUUACUACUGGAUAAACAUUCCCGAGGCAGUGUGGAAAGAAAUCCCCACGUCUCCAGGCAGAAAUGCCCUAAGGCUAUUAACAAAAAAUGU